UACGUAGGGUCCGAGCGUUGUCCGGAAUUACUAGGCGUAAAGAGCUCGUAGGUGGUUUGUCGCGUUGUUCGUGAAAACUCACAGCUCAACUGUGGGCGUGCGGGCGAUACGGGCAGACUUGAGUACUGCAGGGGAGACUGGAAUUCCUGGUGUAGCGGUGGAAUGCGCAGAUAUCAGGAGGAACACCGGUGGCGAAGGCGGGUCUCUGGGCAGUAACUGACGCUGAGGAGCGAAAGCGUGGGGAGCGAACAGG
rnacentral:rRNA from 1 species